AUUGAACGCUGGCGGCAGGCCUAACACAUGCAAGUCGAACGAGCGGCGGACGGGUGAGUAAUGUCUGGGAAACUGCCUGAUGGAGGGGGAUAACUACUGGAAACGGUAGCUAAUAACGCAUACCAUCAGAUGUACCCAUAUGGGAUUAGCUAGUUGGUGGGGUAACGGCUCACCAAGGCGACGAUCUCUAGCUGGUCUGAGAGGAUGAACAGCCACACUGGAACUGAGACACGGUCCAGACUCCUACGGGAGGCAGCAGUGGGGAAUAUUGCACAAUGGGCGCAAGCCUGAUGCAGCCAUGCAGCGUGUAUGAAGAAGGCCUUAGGGUUGUAAAGUACUUUCAGCGGGGAGGCGUUACCCGCAGAAGAAGCACCGGCUAACUCCGUGCCAGCAGCCGCGGUAAUUC
rnacentral:rRNA from 1 species